ACCCUUUAUCGUUUGCCUUCAACUAAUCCUCAAACCCUAGGUCCGAUGGAUUUGGCUGUAUCUCUCUUCCCUUUCUUCUCUCUCCCUACACAAUGGAACCUCUCGCAUCAUCUCCUCGAGACCCAUCGUCUUCUUCAGCUUUCUCAAGCGCUCCUCAUCUCUCACUUUCGUCAAGACCUCCUCCAACCAAAUCGAGAUGUUCUUCUUCGAGGAUGAAACCCCAGAAAUAACUUCCAGUGCCGUCUAUGCCCUGCCGUCUCCUCCAGAAGUUUCGUCCCGCCGCCUUAUUUCGAGAAGGAGCAGACGAGACAGAGGUAUAGAUCGCGACGGCUUUCGAGGAACUGUAUGGUCCGGUAGAUAGCAGAGAGAGCAUGCUCGGAAAGAACAUUAAGACCUGAAAGGACUUGUUAUUGUUUUUAAGUAUUUAGGGAUUUUCAUAAAAAGAAAAAGGUCUUCCAUCUUCUAUUUCUACUGCUGUUCUUGCUAGCAGCUCUGCCACUACAACAUAUAUAUCCCUUGAUGUGGCUUCGAGUAUUAGGAUAUGUAGCAAGUUUAAUGAUAACCUCUCAGUUAUUGGAUUUUGUUUCCCGGUACUCCGUACUUGGCACUGGAAUACGCACAAAGCAGGACUCGGACUGAUAUAAUCAUAUGUUUUGUCAAAGUUUGUUUGAUUUCUUUACUGUUACUUUUGUGUUGUGUUCUUCCUCGUGCAGGAGGAAGCUAAGUCGGUUGGCCAUCUGCAGAGUGAGGGAAUGGCCUAGUUCCAGUUCUUCACCUUUCGAUUUUGCAUAGUAUCAACAUGAGUAGAUGAUUCUUGGUGAAAACAGAAAAACUGGUUUGAUUACAUGUGAACCUUUGACAGGUUCAGAAGUUUGAGCCAAACAACCCUAAGGACAAAGAGGAUAUUGCUUCAAAUUCUCCAAUAAAGGUAGCAGUUCUUUUCGAUUUCAAAGAUAUUGUUUCAGUCUCUUAAUUUUUACCAGAUGAAAGCUUCUUCGGGCAAAGACAACAACAAGUUUGAGAUUUCCUGCUAGGCGAUAAAGAUCUAGCUUGAGAUCCGAGGACGAUGCUGAGCAACCUAUCCUUUAUUCACAAGUUUAUUACAAAAGCUGUAUAACCUUAUUUUUAAUUAUGUACGUUUACUUUGUAAUACUGAUCUUUUGUAUCAUGGUUUCAUGUUAUGAAAAUAUAGUUUUUUUAA